GACGAACGCUGGCGGCGUGCCUAAUACAUGCAAGUAGAACGCUGAAGCGAGGAGCUUGCUCUUCUUGGAUGAGUUGCGAACGGGUGAGUAACGCGUAGGUAACCUGCCUUGUAGCGGGGGAUAACUAUUGGAAACGAUAGCUAAUACCGCAUAACAAUGGAUGACACAUGUCAUUUAUUUGAAAGGGGCAAUUGCUCCACUACAAGAUGGACCUGCGUUGUAUUAGCUAGUAGGUGAGGUAAUGGCUCACCUAGGCGACGAUACAUAGCCGACCUGAGAGGGUGAUCGGCCACACUGGGACUGAGACACGGCCCAGACUCCUACGGGAGGCAGCAGUAGGGAAUCUUCGGCAAUGGGGGCAACCCUGACCGAGCAACGCCGCGUGAGUGAAGAAGGUUUUCGGAUCGUAAAGCUCUGUCGUAAGUCAAGAACGGGUGUGAGAGUGGAAAGUUCACACUGUGACGGUAGCUAACCAGAAAGGGACGGCUAACUACGUG
rnacentral:rRNA from 1 species